UACGUAGGGGGCAAGCGUUGUCCGGAAUCACUGGGCGUAAAGGGUGCGUAGGCGGGUCUUUAAGUCAGGGGUGAAAUCCUGGAGCUCAACUCCAGGACUGCCUUUGAUACUGAGGAUCUUGAGUUCGGGAGAGGUGAGUGGAACUGCGAGUGUAGAGGUGAAAUUCGUAGAUAUUCGCAAGAACACCAGUGGCGAAGGCGGCUCACUGGCCCGAUACUGACGCUGAGGCACGAAAGCGUGGGGAGCAAACAGG
rnacentral:rRNA from 1 species